AUUGAACGCUGGCGGCAGGCCUAACACAUGCAAGUCGAACGGUAACAGGAAGAAGCUUGCUUCUUUGCUGACGAGUGGCGGACGGGCGAGUAAUGUCUGGGAAACUGCCUGAUGGAGGGGGAUAACUACUGGAAACGGUAGCUAAUACCGCAUAACGUCGCAAGACCAAAGAGGGGGACCUUCGGGCCUCUUGCCAUCGGAUGUGCCCAGAUGGGAUUAGCUAGUAGGUGGGGUAACGGCUCACCUAGGCGACGAUCCCUAGCUGGUCUGAGAGGAUGACCAGCCACACUGGAACUGAGACACGGUCCAGACUCCUACGGGAGGCAGCAGUGGGGAAUAUUGCACAAUGGGCGCAAGCCUGAUGCAGCCAUGCCGCGUGUAUGAAGAAGGCCUUCGGGUUGUAAAGUACUUUCAGCGGGGAGGAAGGGAGUAAAGUUAAUACCUUUACUCAUUGACGUUACCCGCAGAAGAAGCACCGGCUAACUCCGUG
rnacentral:rRNA from 1 species